GGUAGUGUGGCCGAGUGGUCUAAGGCACUGGAUUUAGGCUCCAGUCUCUCAGGAGGCGUGGGUUCAAAAUCCCACCACUGCCA